GAUCAGAAUAGCCAGUAGCAUAGAUUGAAGGAUUCUCACAGGGGCAUGGAAAUGCAGCUUCAGAUGUUUACUUCAGAAAAAAAACUCAACUAUCCAUGGCAAAUGCUAUAACCAUUGGGCUACUGCCAAUUCUGAGAAAUUCUGUUCACCUUUCCAUUCUCCAACCCCCACUGAGAGGUUUUGUUUUCAUUUACCACAGAGCAAAGCAUCAAGGUUUUUGUAGACAGAAUUCUAGUUUCCAGUGAGAUAAAUGAUACCUUUGUCUUGAUCUCAAUAUAAUAGGAUUAUAGAAUAGUUUGGGUUGGAAGAGAUCUUCAAAGGUCAUCUAGUCCCCCAGUAUACUCUUUUCCCAGGUGGUAAGGUGUCAGUAGGUGCCUAAAAUACUGCAGCGGUAGGGACUUCUUUGUGAAAGCCCUGAGAAAAUGCCAUCAACUUUGUUAUAUGUUCAUGAAGUAUGUAUCCUAGUCACGACAGGAAAGUAAACAGAGACUAUGAUUUUCAUUUCUACACUUUAAUACUAUGUUCAUUUUUAUCUGUUAGGUCUGCUGCUGCUAUAGCUGAUUGGAAUUCUAAACAGCGUUGGAUAUUUAUUUUUGUAAACCUGUGCCAUUCAUCUUUAAUAUAAUCAUGUAAUUUACUCUAUUAAUGCCAGCUGCUAUAUUUGGCACAGGUCAUCUGAAGGGUUUGGAACACUAUAUUAAUUUUUCCUUGAACCCAUUAGCUAAUUCUAAAAAUCCAUAGAAGUCAGAGCACUCCUCCUCCAUAGUCAGGGAAAGUUUAUUUUUGUCCUCGUUUUGGAACACUGCCUUAGUUUGACAGAAGAAAAAUCCAGUAGGAGAUGGACUAUCAUUUUUCUGGGAUUUAUUUGUUUGUUUAUUUUCUUCAGAGCUGUCCUUGGAAAUCCCAAGAUUUCCAAGACUCGGGUAAGACUUUUCAGAGGGAGUUAUGCACAGUGUGGAGGAUUUAUCUCACCUAAUGUCUGCCUGAGAACACUGGAUCUAAUCAGCUUGUGGGAGCUUGGAAGCUAAGCAUAUGUCUUACAUAAUUGUGUGGUUAUGGGGACAUCUCUGCGUCACAGUUUUCUGGGAGUGUCCACUUAGAUUUUGCAAAGCAAAACAGUCGCUGUCUUGAAGGGAAUGUUUUUCAACUGGUUGGUGCCUGCUUCAUCCCUCUCUUGUAUAUGAAAUCUUCUAGGAUGGGCUUUUAUUGCUGAGCACAGAUCCUCACAUACUUUGUAAAAGGAAAUUCAGAAGGCAGAUGACUUCUCCAAAGAGCUGUAACAAGUCGAACAUACAGCCAGGAUUUCUGGUGCACUGGACCACAGUGCAUAGGAGGGCUCCCCUGUGAAUGGCAUGGAGAGGCAUAGAUAAGGGCUCAAGUUUUCAGAAGAAAUCAAAUGCAUUGUAAAAAAAAAAAAAAAUCUGGGGAGGAAGUCUAAUUUAGUACAAGGAUUAUCACCUUUUUUGCCAAGAAGUAAGAACUAGUGUAUGGUAUUCAAUGUACUGUACAUCUAGAUUCUUGUUGGAGUAAACACGCUAAGAAAUAAGGGACUGAGACUUUGAUCAUGAUGUUGAUGCUAUGUCCUUCUCAUUUUCUGGCUCUUGAUCAGUUGUAGGACUUAGCAGCUAGCACAGAACUGUUCUAAAUGCCAUCAAUUAUGUCUGUAAAAGCAUUAACAAUAAUACAUCAAUAACCCAGGAGCUCUUUAAGAUUUAGACAGAAGGUCAUAGGCAGAGAUGCACCAAAGACAAUGAGGAAACUGCUGGAGGAUGUUAAGUAAAAUUCAAAUAGAUCAAGGUACAUAGUGAAUAGCCUGAGGUAACAGCAGAUACCUAAAUAGUUAUCUCAACAUACAGAGCUGAAGAGGAAAAGAACUAUCAGUAAAACAUCUUUUAAGAUAGACUCUCCCUGUUGGGAUUACUGUGAGAAGAAAACCUGGAUAUGAUAAUUAAAAACUUUAAACAAAGAAUAUGCAAAAUACAUAGAAAAGCAUGUAGUCUGGGAAUUGAGUCAAUAAGAACGCAUACAGAAUAAGAUUUGUCUACAGUCUAGCAGCUUUUAUCUGAACUGCCUCAGCUCUGUAAAAAUGACUGUGAAAUGAUUCAUAAGCCAUUCUGAAGUUUCUGAUCAGGGCCUUACAGAACCAACAACAGUGCACAACCUCUGCAUUUUCAAAAAAUUCUAGAUUUGUUGAACUGUAAGGAUUGUCACACACGUGCUCCCUGGAAGGUCUCAUAUGCUGUUUCAGUUUAAUUGGGCUAUUAAAAAAAUAAAUACAACAAAUCUGUUCUUGACAUUUAUUAAUAUAUAGUGUUCUGUGGGUUUUUUUCUGAAGCAAUUUCAUAGCUUCACCCUGUCUCCAUUUUUUUCUUUGUUUGUACAGAUAAACUGUGUUUGCAAUUACCCUUUAUUUUCUAGAAAGGAUUUGAACCCAGUAAAGUAUCUUUUUUUAAAUAACAUUUUAAAUAUAAAGGUCUUGCUGAUGUGUGACUAAAUAUUGUGAGAACUAAUCUAUUAAGAACAGAGCCAUUAAUUUCUUUACUAGAGAAUCCUACAGCUUUACCACAUUGUGCUACGUUAAUGUAAUGAUGCAUCAAGCUCCCCAUUAGUUACUGAGAAAGAAACCCUUAGGGCAAUUGAAAUGAAACAACUAAUGUACAGAGUACCUGGCAAAAAAUUACAAGGCUAGACAAGAAGAAUGUUGCUAUGCUGGAGGUCUGUAACCACAGUCUCCAGGAGCUGUGAGUCCUUGCAGCACAAGAGCAGUUGUUAUGGAUAGGUCUUCCAUGUAGCAAAAAGAUCUUCUGUCUAUUUAAGAAUAUGAGCUGUGUUACCUAAGCAGUCUAAUGUAUUUGUAAAUUAUAUUUGAAAGUGUCUGCACAAGACAGAUUUAUUAAUUUAUUUAAAUAUGGGAUAUUGAAAAAAUUCCUAAAACUCUUAAUUAGCCUUUGAUGUGGCAAACGCUUGUUUCAUAAUCUGAAAAUAAAGAAGUUGUCUAAUAAAAAAGUUAACAGUAAUAAAUAAA